AUUGAACGUUGGCGGCAGGCCUAAAACAUGCAAGUCGAACGGUAACAGCGGAAGCUUGCUUCCGGCUGACGAGUGGCGGACGGGUGAGUAACACGUAGGAAUCUACCUAGUAGUGGGGGACAACCCGGGGAAACCCGGGCUAAUACCGCAUACGCUCUACGGAGGAAAGCAGGGGAUCUUCGGACCUUGCGCUAUUGGAGGAGCCUGCGUCGGAUUAGCUAGUUGGUGGGGUAAAGGCCUACCAAGGCGACGAUCCGUAGCUGGUCUGAGAGGACGAUCAGCCACACUGGAACUGAGACACGGUCCAGACUCCUACGGGAGGCAGCAGUUAGGAAUCUUGGGCAAUGGGCGCAAGCCUGACCCAGCCAUGCCGCGUGUGUGAAGAAGGCCUUCGGGUUGUAAAGCACUUUCAGCGGUGAAGAAAAGCUUAGGGCUAAUAUCCUUGAGUCUUGACGUUAACCACAGAAGAAGCACCGGCUAACUCCGUGCCAGCCGCCGCAGUAAAAC
rnacentral:rRNA from 1 species